AUUAAGGUUGGGCCUAAGUCAUUCCUCCGAGGACCUUUGGACGAUUCAAAAGCCAAUAAGACGAGACCACGGCUCUACUGUGAACUUUCUGAUUGUCCAGCGGAACUACUUCACCCCCCUGAAGAUUGUAACGUGAAUUCCACAUUGCCCUUCACUCUUCAGGUGUCUCAUUAGCCAGAUUGACCACUAAAUUUGUCGAGUUGAAGAUUUGUUUCUGCAGAUUGACCACAUUGCUUGGCUUGUUUCAUGGGUCAGGGAUAUAUUUGUUUACCUAUCUGGUGCAAUUAGUGCUUCUGGUCUUGAUAAUUGAAGUGAUAUCGGGUUGAAAGCUAAGCGAUUGUGUAGAAAUGGUCAAGCGACCGUUGAAAAUUGAAGACUGAGAAGGCAUUUAGGAUUUUUAAUUAUUUAAUUCUUGUAUUAGAAUCUUUUUUCAUGUACUAUUGUAGAAUGUAUAUAUAAACAUAAUAUUAAUAUUUUA